rnacentral:lncRNA from 1 species
CUCGUCCAGAGCACAACUCGUUUCGUAACGAAAAAUGUAAAAAUUUCCAAAUUAUUGUGUAAUUGAGUUUCAUGCGUUUUGCUAACUCAAAUACUCGCCAUUGCUUUUUGUAAGUGAAACCAAUGGCACGGAUUGCAAAGCAACCGCUUUACACGAAAAAUGAAGAACGAGCAGUAAGAUUCCUUUAACAUUCCUUUAAUUUAAAAAGGACCAACGGUGCAGCUCCUGCUAAAUGAUUAGUUUGUAUCUAAUCUAAAAUACAAAUAUACAAAUCGACUUAACACUACAUGCUUAUAUGUAUACACUUGUACACGAAUCUACAAAUAUAAUAUUGUUAAAUCU